rnacentral:rRNA from 1 species
CGACUAAUGUUGAAAAAUUAGCGGAUGACUUGUGGCUGGGGGUGAAAGGCCAAUCAAACCGGGAGAUAGCUGGUUCUCCCCGAAAGCUAUUUAGGUAGCGCCUCGUGAACUCAUCUUCGGGGGUAGAGCACUGUUUCGGCUAGGGGGUCAUCCCGACUUACCAACCCGAUGCAAACUGCGAAUACCGAAGAAUGUUAUCACGGGAGACACACGGCGGGUGCUAACGUCCGUCGUGAAGAGGGAAACAACCCAGACCGCCAGCUAAGGUCCCAAAGUCACAGUUAAGUGGGAAACGAUGUGGGAAGGCUCAGACAGCCAGGAUGUUGGCUUAGAAGCAGCCAUCAUUUAAAGAAAGCGUAAUAGCUCACUGGUCGAGUCGGCCUGCGCGGAAGAUGUAACGGGGCUAAACUGUGCACCGAAGCUGCGGCAGCGACGCUUAUGCGUUGUUGGGUAGGGGAGCGUUCUGUAAGCCUGCGAAGGUGUCCUGUGAGGGAUGCUGGAGGUAUCAGAAGUGCGAAUGCUGACAUAAGUAACGAUAA